AAGGAUUUAAGUUAAAAAAUAAACUUGUAGCCUUCAAAGCUAUCAAUGAAGUCCUCUUUAAGCCUUA
rnacentral:tRNA from 1 species